UCACCCUGAUAAGGCGGGGGCUGUUAUCAGCGCACCCAGGCUGCGCCCCUCCCGGCACCGAGCCCAACGGGGCCAGCAGCCCCCCGGGUGCCGUCCCCAUGGCCCUGUGAGGGUCCCCGAGCUGGCAUGAGCGUGUGCACGCGUGUGCAUGCGUGUGCAUGAGUGUGCACGUGUGUGUGCAUGCGUGUGCUCACGUGUGUGCGUGUGCAAGGUGCACCCAGCUCACCUUUCUCCCCUUCCCUGCACCCUGCGUGCGGGAGCAGCCUGGCCUGGCAGCGUGCAGCCCCACGCGUGCGUGCACACACACGUGUACAUGAACACACGCGUGCAGACACACACCUGUGUACGUGUGCACACGCGUGCAUUCACACCUGCAUUUCCAUGUGCACGCACACAGGCACUUGGAAACCUGCCCGCAUUCACGCGCUCGUGCACAGGUGCACGCACGCCUUUGUGCACGUGCACACACGAGUGCAAAGGUUCGUGCGUGCACACACAGCCCUGUGCACCCGUUUGCACACACACGAGCGUGCACACAGGCGUGCACACACACCCGCAGGGUGCACCCAGCCUCCAGGACACCCCAGGACGGGCGCAUCCCCCCCACCACCCAUGGGCCCCAAAAUGGCUCCUGCCCCCCCCGCCUGGGGGGAACCCCUUUUUUUUUUUAAAAAAAAUUAAAAAAAAAUUAAAAAAAAAGAGAAAACCCCAAGCCCAAGGAGGGGAGAGGAUUCCCGGGGAUUCCCCGAGGGAAACCCGGACCCAAAACCCCGAUAGCAGCUGUGGGAUUGCGGGGUGGCCGGAGCGGGGCCGGGCAGCGUGGGGCAGCACCGUGGGUUGGGGCCGGGCGCAGCCGCCGAGGCGCAAGAUGUUGCACCCCGAUAACCUUGUUUACGGGGCCGGGGGGGGGCCGGGCGAGCCGGGGGGGGCAGCGGUGGGGGGCAGAUUAGGAGGUGAGCGUGACUCAGGGCAUUUGGGUGCCUGCCCCGGCGGCGCGCGGCUCUUCCACCGGAGAGCCGGGGGCUGGCGGCGACGGCAGCGGCGUCCCCGAGCCACCCCAAAGGACGCCGAGGAGGUGAUGCGGAGAAACCUGGACCCCGAGGGCUACGAGGACCCGGGGAUCAAGGUCUCGAGGAUGUCGCUGGAGGAGACGAGCACCGGUAUUUGCCCAGCCACCGGGGAUCCUAUGACCUGGACGGGAGGAGGCGCGCGGCCGGGGCCCCCCCGGGACGGGUCAGCCGCCGUGGCGGAGGGCAGAGUGAGUGACCCG
rnacentral:lncRNA from 1 species